CUCUUUUUAGAAGCACUCGUGGGCCUUUCAGUAGUGCCCCACUAAGCCAUCAAGAAAGGGCAGAGUGAAAAUGUCACUUUUAGGUGAAAGCAUGUUGUGUUGUUUUGCUCUCAUUGGUGGUAUGAUAGGU
rnacentral:snoRNA from 1 species